UGCUGUCAGAAGAACGAACCUGGAAGGAGAAGGACGAGGUCCGUUCUCGCACCGUCCUGCUCCGCUGCCGCCGCUGCCGUCGAUUGGGGUCACACCGUUGCUGUUGCGCCCUGUUUUCGUUGAUAGAGCCACUGUUGAGAGUCUGCCGUCAGAGAAGCAUCGUCGGCGUUGCUGCUGCGAACUAUUUCAGCUACUGCCCUGGUAUUGCUCGGUCACCGCAGCCUCCUUUGUCCCUGUCUCUGAAUUCUGUACCAUUCACGACCUAUUUUGAUUAUUGUUAUUCUUGCUUGCCGCUUCUGCCUCCAUCGAAGGGAGUGAGAACGCCGUCGAACAGAAUGUGAAAAGGGAGAGGAGUUGUGUUCUUUCGCUGUUGCCGUCGUUGCCGAAACCAAGACAAAUUUACCGGAGAUAGUGUUGAUGAUAAUAAAGAACUGUUAGAGUUGCUGCUGCUGCUAGUUUGGUUCGAGUCUGUUGCUGCUACAAACUAAAACAAAAGAGGGGUUUGCUGCGCUUAAUUAUCGAAUUUCGGCUAAUCGAGAACUGAUGAGGUAGUCAACACUCAAUUGAUGGUUUCUCGGUAAAUUUUCCAAAAAUGGGU